AGUGUACUUCCUCCGUUCGGAAUUACUUGUCGCACAUAUGGAUGUAUCUAGACGUAUUUUAGUUCUAGAUAAAUCCAUUUCCGAGACAAGUUAGUUCUAGAUAAAUCCAUUUCCGAGACAAGUAAUUCCGAACGGAGGGAGUAGAUG
rfam:Triticum aestivum genome assembly, contig: Triticum_aestivum_CS42_TGACv1_scaffold_061165_1DL